GACAGAGGUGCCGAGCGUUAGGCGGAAUCACUGGGCUUAAAGCGUGUGUAGGCGGAUCGUUAAGUACCUUGUGAAAUCCCACGGCUCAACCGUGGAACUGCUGGGUAUACUGGCGGUCUUGAGCCACCUAGGGGCGAGCGGAACAAGCGGUGGAGCGGUGAAAUGCGUAGAUAUCGCUUGGAACGCCAACGGUGAAAACAGCUCGCUGGGGUGUGCUGACGCUGGAGACACGAAAGCCAGGGGAGCGAACGGG
rnacentral:rRNA from 1 species